GGAAUCUUGGACAAUGGGCGCAAGCCUGAUCCAGCGACGCCGCGUGACUGAUGAAGCCUUUCGGGGUGUAAAGGUCUUUCAGCGGGGACAAUGAUGAUGGUACACGCAGACGCCGCUGCGGCUAACUACGUUCCAGCAGCCGCGGUAAUACGUAGGCAGCUAGCGUUGUUCGGAAUUACUGGGCGUAAAGCGAGUGUAGGCGGUUUGCCAAGUCCGUUGUGAAAUCUCCCGGCUCAACUGGGAGGGUGCGGCGGAAACUGGCAGGCUAGAGUGCGGAAUGGGAGAGUGGAAUUCCUGGUGUAGCGGUGAAAUGCGUAGAUAUCAGGAGGAACACCGGUGGUGAAGACGGCUCUCUGGACCGCUACUGACGCUGAGACUCGAAAGCGUGGGGAGCAAAC
rnacentral:rRNA from 1 species